GCCUCUGUAGUGUAGUGGUAGACACGCGCCCUCGUUAUUGACAAAUCGCGGGUUCAACUCCCGCCUCAGGUC